rnacentral:rRNA from 1 species
ACGAACGCUGGCGGCGUGCUUAACACAUGCAAGUCGAACGGAGAUAGUUUGAAAGCUUGCUGAUAACUAUCUUAGUGGCGCACGGGUGAGUAACACGUGGGCAACCUGCCCGGAAGACUGGGAUAACACCUCGAAAGGGGUGCUAAUACCGGAUACCUUCACGAAGUCGCAUGACUUUGUGCAGAAAGAAAUUCGCUUCCGGAUGGGCCCGCGUCCCAUUAGCUAGUUGGCGAGGUAACGGCUCACCAAGACGACGAUGGGUAGCUG